rnacentral:rRNA from 1 species
GAGUUUGAUCCUGGCUCAGAACGAACGCUGGCGGCGCGCCUAAUACAUGCAAGUCGAGCGAGAAGACGUAGCAAUACGUUUGUAAAGCGGCGAACGGGUGAGGAAUACAUGGGUAACCUACCCUCGAGUGGGGAAUAACUAGCCGAAAGGUUAGCUAAUACCGCGUACGCUCCUUGGACUUCGGUUCAGGGAGGAAAGCGAUGCCGUGGGUAUCGCGCUCCUGGAUGGGCUCAUGUCCUAUCAGCUAGUUGGUGAGGUAACGGCUCACCAAGGCUUCGACGGGUAGCUGGUCUGAGAGGACGAUCAGCCACACUGGCACUGCGACACGGGCCAGACUCCUACGGGAGGCAGCAGUAAGGAAUAUUGCGCAAUGGGCGAAAGCCUGACGCAGCGACGCCGCGUGGGGGAUGAAGGUCUUCGGAUUGUAAACCCCUUUCGGGAGGGAAGAUGGAGCGAGCAAUCGUUCGGACGGUACCUCCAGAAGCAGCCACGGCUAACUUCGUGCCAGCAGCCGCGGUAAUACGAAGGUGGCAAGCGUUGUUCGGAUUUACUGGGCGUACAGGGAGCGUAGGCGGUUCGGUAAGCCCUCUGUGAAAUCUCCAGGCUUAACCUGGAACAGUCGGAGGGGACUGCCGGGCUAGAGGACGGGAGAGGAGCGCGGAAUUCCCGGUGUAGCGGUGAAAUGCGUAGAGAUCGGGAGGAAGGCCGGUGGCGAAGGCGGCGCUCUGGAACGUUUCUGACGCUGAGGCUCGAAAGCGUGGGGAGCAAACAGGAUUAGAUACCCUGGUAGUCCACGCCUU